GGGGUCAUGGUCCAGCGGGAAGACAUUGCCAUGGCAUGGCAAGGACCCGAGUUCGAAUCUCGGUGACUCCAC
rnacentral:tRNA from 1 species